GACGAACGCUGGCGGCGUGCCUAACACAUGCAAGUCGAGCGAUGAAGUUCUUCGGAACGGAUUAGCGGCGGACGGGUGAGUAACACGUGGGUAACCUGCCUUGUAGAGGGGGAUAGCCUUCCGAAAGGAAGAUUAAUACCGCAUAACAUCUUUUUAUCGCAUGGUAGAAAGAUCAAAGGAGUAAUCCGCUACAAGAUGGACCCGCGGCGCAUUAGCUAGUUGGUGAGGUAACGGCUCACCAAGGCGACAAUGCGUAGCCGACCUGAGAGGGUGAUCGGCCACAUUGGAACUGAGACACGGUCCAGACUCCUACGGGAAGCAGCAGUGGGGAAUAUUGCGCAAUGGGGGAAACCCUGACGCAGCAACGCCGCGUGAAUGAAGAAGGCCUUAGGGUUGUAAAGUUCUGUUUACGGGGACGAUAAUGACGGUACCCGUGGAGGAAGCCACGGCUAACUACGUGCCAGCCGCCGCCGUAA
rnacentral:rRNA from 1 species